rnacentral:lncRNA from 1 species
UACAAUUAUUUUAAAACAAUAAAAAUACAAAAUUUUCACCACAAUAUGAGAUUCAUUAUUACAUCAACAACGGAAACGGAAUUGCAUUUCUGAGAGCGGUAGAGGGUUUUUCAUCCACUCAAUUAAUUUAGCAGAAGAAACAAUAUAAACGUCCUUCAUUUGCUCAAGUUUGUCUAAAAACAUUUCAAAACCUCGCGCAUUGUUUCUAUAAGCUGAGUGAGUAAACCAAAUAUGGCGAAAGUUAACCCCGAAAGGAGUUUUGUUUGAAUUAUAAAAAUUAUAAAAAUUGUUCCAGAGAAAUUGAAAAGUUUCUUCAGCAGUCUUUGGAGAGAACAUACAUCCAUCAACGUAAUUACAAG